rnacentral:rRNA from 1 species
CAUCGGUUCUAUUUUGUUGGUUUCUAGGACCGCUGUAAUGAUUAAUAGGGAUAGUCGGGGGCGUCAGUAUUCAAUUGUCAGAGGUGAAAUUCUUGGAUUUAUUGAAGACUAACUACUGCGAAAGCAUUCGCCAAGGAUGUUUUCAUUAAUCAGUGAACGAAAGUUAGGGGAUCGAAGACGAUCAGAUACCGUCGUAGUCUUAACCAUAAACUAUGCCGACUAGGGAUCGGUAAGGCUCUAUAAAGACCUUAUCGGCACCUUAUGAGAAAUCAAAGUUUUUGGGUUCUGGGGAGAGUAUGGUCGCAAGGCUGAAACUUAAAGGAAUUGACGGAAGGGCACCACCAGGAGUGGAGCCUGCGGCUUAAUUUGACUCAACACG